rnacentral:rRNA from 1 species
AGCAGCCGCGGUAAUUCCAGCUCCAAUAGCGUAUAUUAAAGUUGUUGCAGUUAAAAAGCUCGUAGUUGAAUUUCGGGAUUUGUCAGUUGGUCGGGCUUCACUGUCCGUACUGACUUGAUGGAUUCUUACCUUCUGAAUAACCAGCAUGCUAUUUAGUUAGUGCGUUGGGGAAGCAGAUCUAUUACCUUGAAAAAAUUAGAGUGCUUAAAGCGGGCUAGUGCUUGAAUAGAUUAGCAUGGAAUAAUAAAAUAGGACGGCAUGGUUCUAUUUUGUUGGUUUCUAGGAUCACCGUAAUGAUUAAUAGGGAUAGUUGGGGGCAUUAGUAUUCAAUUGUCAGAGGUGAAAUUCUUGGAUUUAUUGAAGACUAACUUCUGCGAAAGCAUUUGCCAAGGAUGUUUUCAUUAAUCAAGAACGAAAGUUAGGGGAUCGAAGACGAUCAGAUACCGUCGUAGUCUUAACCAUAAACUAUGCCGACUAGGAAUCGGACGAAGUUAAUUUUAUAAUGACUCG